GACGAACGCUGGCGGCGUGCUUAACACAUGCAAGUCGAACGAAGUGGCGAACGGGUGAGUAACGCGUAAUCAACCUGCUCUUCAGAGGGGGUAAACAGUUGGAAAGGACUGCUAAUCCCGCAUACGGAAGGAGGUGAUUGCGUGUGAUUAGCUAGUGGGUGGGGUAAAGGCUUACCAAGGCGACGAUCCGUAACUGGUCUGAGAGGAUGACCAGCCACACUGGAACUGAGACACGGUCCAGACUCCUACGGGAGGCAGCAGUGGGGAAUAUUGGACAAUGGGCGAAAGCCUGAUCCAGCCAUGCCGCGUGUGUGAAGAAGGUCUUCGGAUUGUAAAGCACUUUAAGUUGGGAGGCGUUACCAACAGAAUAAGCACCGGCUAACUCCGUGCCAGCAGCCGCGGUAAUAC
rnacentral:rRNA from 1 species